rnacentral:rRNA from 1 species
UAGGGAAUCUUCGGCAAUGGGGGGAACCCUGACCGAGCAACGCCGCGUGAGUGAAGAAGGUUUUCGGAUCGUAAAGCUCUGUUGUUAAGGAAGAACGAGUGUGAGAAUGGAAAGUUCAUACUGUGACGGUACUUAACCAGAAAGGGACGGCUAACUACGUGCCAGCAGCCGCGGUAAUACGUAGGUCCCGAGCGUUGUCCGGAAUUAUUGGGCGUAAAGCGAGCGCAGGCGGUUAGAUAAGUCUGAAGUUAAAGGCAGUGGCUCAACCAUUGUAGGCUUUGGAAACUGUUUAACUUGAGUGCAGAAGGGGAGAGUGGAAUUCCAUGUGUAGCGGUGAAAUGCGUAGAUAUAUGGAGGAACACCGGUGGCGAAAGCGGCUCUCUGGUCUGUAACUGACGCUGAGGCUCGAAAGCGUGGGGAGCGAACAGG